UACGUGGGGUGCGAGCGUUAAUCGGAAUUACUGGGCGUAAAGAGUGCGUAGGCGGUUCGUUAUGUCUGCUGUGAAAGCCCCGGGCUUAACCCGGGAAUGGCAGUGGAAACUGGCGGGCUUGAGUGUGGCAGAGGGGGGUGGAAUUCCGCGUGUAGCAGUGAAAUGCGUAGAGAUGCGGAGGAACACCGAUGGCGAAGGCAGCCCCCUGGGCCAAUACUGACGCUCAUGCACGAAAGCGUGGGGAGCAAACAGG
rnacentral:rRNA from 1 species